rnacentral:rRNA from 1 species
UGGGGAAUAUUGGACAAUGGGCGAAAGCCUGAUCCAGCCAUGCCGCGUGUGUGAAGAACGCCUUUUGGUUGUAAAGCACUUUAAGCGAGGAGGAGGCUACUUGGAUUAAUACUCUAGGAUAGUGGACGUUACUCGCAGAAUAAGCACCGGCUAACUCUGUGCCAGCAGCCGCGGUAAUACAGAGGGUGCGAGCGUUAAUCGGAUUUACUGGGCGUAAAGCGUGCGUAGGCGGCUUCUUUAGUCGGAUGUGAAAUACCUUAGCUUAACUUCGGAAGUACAUUCGAUACUGUGAAGCUAGAGUAUGGGAGAGGAUGGUAGAAUUCCAGGUGUAGCAGUGAAAUACGUAGAGAUCUGGUGGAAUACCGAUGGCGGAGACAGCCAUCUGGCCUAAUACUGACGAUGAGGUACGAAAGCAUGGGGAGCAAACAGG